UACGGAGGGUGCAAGCGUUAAUCGGAAUUACUGGGCGUAAAGCGCGCGUAGGCGGCUUUGUAAGUCGGAUGUGAAAGCCCCGGGCUUAACCUGGGAAUUGCAUUCGAUACUGCAUAGCUAGAGUAUGGUAGAGGGUAGCGGAAUUCCGGGUGUAGCGGUGAAAUGCGUAGAUAUCCGGAGGAACACCAGUGGCGAAGGCGGCUACCUGGACCGGUAUUGACGCUGAGGUGCGAAAGCGUGGGGAGCAAACAGG
rnacentral:rRNA from 1 species